GGCAAUGGGCGAAASUGNACCCAGCAACGCCGCGUGAAGGAUGAAGUAUUUCGGUAUGUAAACUUCGAAAGAAUGGGAAGAAUAAAUGACGGUACCAUUUAUAAGCUCCGGCUAACUACGUGCCAGCAGCCGCGGUAAUACGUAGGGAGCAAGCGUUGUUCGGAUUUACUGGGCGUAAAGGGCGCGUAGGCGGCGCGGUAAGUCACUUGUGAAAUCUCUGAGCUUAACUCAGAACGGCCAAGUGAUACUGCAGUGCUAGAGUGCAGAAAGGGCAAUCGGAAUUCUUGGUGUAGCGGUGAAAUACGUAGAUAUCAAGAGGAACACCUGAGGCGAAGGCGGGUUGCUAGGCUGACACUGACGCUGAUGCGCGAAAGCCAGGGGAGCAAACGGGAUUAGAUACCCCGGUAGUCCUGGCCCUAAACGAUGAAUACUUGGUGUCUGGAGUCUUAACGCUCCGGGUGCCGUCGCUAACGUUUUAAGUAUUCCGCCUGGGGAGUACGCUCGCAAGAGUGAAACUCAAAGGAAUUGAC
rnacentral:rRNA from 1 species